GACAGAGGGUGCAAGCGUUGUUCGGAAUUACUGGGCAUAAAGCGCACGUAGGCGGUUCGCUAAGUCUGUCGUGAAAUCCCCCGGCUCAACCGGGGAAUAGCGUCGGAUACUGGCGAGCUCGAGGUCGAUAGGGGUAAGUGGAACUCCAGGUGGAGCGGUGAAAUGCGUAGAUAUCUGGAGGAACACCGGUGGCGAAGGCGGCAUCCUGGACCGGCAUUGACGCUGAUGAGCGAAAGCCAGGGGAGCAAACGGG
rnacentral:rRNA from 1 species